GGAUGGAAGCACCUGUCAAUUCCCCUUCUCCACCCGCGUUCAGUUACUAAAUACGGAUUCACCCCGUAAUAAGUCAACCGCAGACAGGGUCCUUCCACAACCACAUACUUAUGCCAGUAAAAGCUACAGCUCUUCUCCUCCGAUCCAAGAAGCCUGGACUGCAGUCACCAUCUCAACACACCAACCAAGAGAAAGGCGGAUGGCUCAAUUCAAUAUGGAAAAUUGCACAAUAAAAGUUCCAGGACAUGAAGGUUGCAUACUGUGAACGUCAACCUUCAGGGCACCGUCCUGCGCAGAAGACUUUCUACCCUAAGAGGGAUGGCUGACCGCAGACACUCACAACCAGCACAGACGCCUCCAACCUCAGACUAGGCCCUUCACAGUUGCUGCACUUACCCACCUUCCCAGAGUUUUUGUGUGGUAAUGACAACUGUAAAUAUAGUAUAAAGUAAUGUAUCUAGUGUCAUGUGUAAUACAUUGUUUAAAUUGUCCAUACGUUUCAAUGACAGUAAAUAUUGGUGGACACAAUUUGACUUUUUUUUAUUCAUUCUCUGACUGAAAAUGCAUGGUUACAUAAUUUAUAUAUUCCACAAGACCACAAUCAGAAGAUUAUUUGACAGGUUGCAUUUAUUUUCUAUGUAUGAAAAAAAACAAUGGUAACAAGACAAACGUGGUUCCAAACCAAGGUGAGAUGUAUAAAUGUACAGAUGAAUGCUCCUACAGAUAAUGAAAAAUAAUAAAACUCUGCACACUG